UGGGGGAUAUUGCACAAUGGGCGCAAGCCUGAUGCAGCGACGCCGCGUGGGGGAUGAAGGCCUUCGGGUUGUAAACUUCUUUUGCUCUGAACAAGGCGCACUUUGGGGUGUGUUGAGUGUAGGGGUUGAUUAGCGCCGGCUAACUACGUGCCAGCAGCCGCGGUAAUACGUAGGGCGCGAGCGUUGUCCGGAAUUAUUGGGCGUAAAGGGCUUGUAGGUGGCUGGUUGCGUAGGUCGUGAAAGCUCAUGGCUUAACUGUGGGUUUGCGGUGGGUACGGGCUGGCGUGAGUGGAGUAGGGGAGGCUGGAAUUCCUGGUGUAGCGGUGGAAUGCGCAGAUAUCAGGAGGAAUACCGGUGGCGAAGGGGGGUCUCUGGGCUGUUACUGACACUGAGGAGCGAAAGCAUGGGGAGCGAACAGG
rnacentral:rRNA from 1 species